rnacentral:rRNA from 1 species
CGCGCAGGCGGUGAUUUAGGCAGGAUGUGAAAGGCUACGGCUCAACCGUAGACAUGCACCCUGAACUGGGUCACUUGAGUAUUGGAGAGGCAGGCAGAAUUCCUGGUGUAGCGGUGAAAUGCGUAGAUAUCAGGAGGAAUACCGGAGGCGAAGGCGGCCUGCUGGACAAAUACUGACGCUGAGGCGCGAAAGCGUGGGGAGCAAACA